CGGCCACGGAAGCAAGUUAGUAAUCUCUCCUUUAAGUAUACAUUUGUUCACCCAAGAAUCACGUGUGCAUAUGCAUGAGUAUGAUAUCAUAUAUGUGUCUGUAAGAGAAGCAUGACCAUGUGUAUGACCAUUUCAUUACAGGUCUCACGGCUUCCGUCUAAUUUGCAAACGGCGUAUUUUGGAUUGAGGAGAUAAUGUGAUACAUAGAUGAGUGUUUCUCCAACUCAGAAGUGCUGAGGAUGGUCUGGGGAUCUCGUGAAAAUUCAGAUUCUGAUUCAGGGGCUCUGGGGUGAGGCCUGGAAGUCUGCAUUUCUACCAAGGCGCAAGCGUUGCUGUGGUUGCUGACCUCAAGAUCACACCUUGAGUAGCAAGGAAAAGGACAAUUAAGGGGAGCAGGUCUCACGGUUGUAGACUGUAAACUGGCAUUUACAAGGUGGUGCACUCAGCUCCUUGAGAGUGAGCACGCAUGGUACAACAGCAGUGAAGAGGGAUUGAAAUUCUCACUUUGGGAAAUCAAGGAGGAAUUUCCUAAGAAGAGUACAUCUCGAGAGCUGUUUUACAUUUUCAUACAAUACCACAGACUGGCAGUAAGAUUCUUGGUGGAAGAGAUCUUCAUUGGAGGGUAAAUGAUAUGCAUUAGAAAAGGUGACUUAAAACUCUAAAUAUUACUAAAAGUACAGAGAAACCCAUGAAGAAC
rnacentral:lncRNA from 1 species